GGUUGGUACAAAGGUAGUGAAUUAUUUCAAUUCAUUGUUCUCAGUUAGUUACAGAUCAAGCUCCUUGUUCUGCUCUUUCCUCCCUUUCUCACUAAUGCACGUGACUAGUCUCAG
rnacentral:Y_RNA from 1 species